rnacentral:sRNA from 1 species
CUUUCAGCAAAAGACUUCCUCCUUCGCGCAAAGAUAUAGUCCCCUAGGAACUCUUUACCUACACCAGGUAGUGUAGAAUCAAGUUAGUUCUUCUUGGGCCGAGAUGGCGGCCGGUUCGUUUUACGUUUACCUGUUGUGGGUUACCUUACAGGUGACACACCAAUACUACUUUGAGCCUGGUUAUACCCAUCACUAUACGUACUCAUCUACGACGGACACAUUAGGGAUGCACAAUGUGACCACAGUCAUUAGGUUCCAAAUUCGAGACGUCAACCGCACUGAAGAUACAUCUUUGUAUGAACUAAAGGUGGAUUCACUUACCCAACAUUCCCAGAAAGGCCACUAUGCUGUCAAUCCAUUGAAAUGGAACCUCAGUAGACACUUUCUGUUUGAGCUGGGGGAGACAGGGCUGGUCCACUUCGUACACUACCACCCUGAGGACAAGGAGGAAGUGGUCACAAUCAAGAAAGCAGUGGUUGGUACCAUGUCCGCCCAUUUCCAGGCCUCAGAUAGCGAUAAGUGGACUUAUACAUCGAGCGAAAUAGACCAUGGAGGGCAUCUGCUUCAUCAAUACGAAGGACAGAAAACAACCGACGGGUUCAGAGUGACCAGAUUACAUCAUAGUUCCGAAAACGUCAUCAGAACUCAUAAAAAGGUGGUUCAUUACAACAACGAGGGACUGAUACAUCAAGUACAUCUCGUUGACAAUAUUACAACUUACAAUGCCGAGGAAACCAAAGUGAGAAACGGGUAUCACGAUAACGGAGCGAUAAAGAUAUAUUCUUCCGGAGAUUUUCCUACCAUACAAACUAUUGGGGAGACCCGUGUUGUUUUUCAGCAGAAAAGGAAACAAUGCAAAAUCAGAAAGUGGAGAAAUUGUGAAAUUGGUGAAAGACAUUUUGACCGUUGUCAUGAAACCAGAAGAGCGUUUGGCGUUAAAAGAUUUGCAGAAAAACAUAGAAUCUUUGAUAAAAUGCGUUCACAGAUACGACGACAAAACUGCCGUUGAACGGACAAAAUGUGUCAAUAUGUUGCAAGGGAAUGUCACCCGCCUCUUGGACUCAGAUCUGAAACUUUUGGCUGACCAGUUUCUCAAAAAUCUUUGCGUUGAUAACUCUGUACAUUGCACCAAUGGGCGUACAUCUGAUAAUUGACGUCAUCGCCAGGGUCAGAAGUGAUGCUUCCCAGCAAAUUAUCAUCAAGCAUGUUCUAAAUAACAGCGACGCCACGGAAGAAGAGCUUAGACAUGCAUUGAUUCAUUCCAUGAACUACGAAAUUCCAACACAUGAGCUCAUAGCAGCCGUUGAUUUUUUGUGCUUUUUCGGAGAAUCUCAAACAAGAACCCAGUUUGGUUAGUGCAACACAGAGGCGAGCUUGUCUAACUUUUGGCGCCAUUUUAAAAAACCUUCGUCAUAAUGGCAACACUACACUGGCUCUACAACUUGUUCACAAAUUGGAAGAAACUUUAGGACAUCAUAAUGAAUCGGAAUUUCAAAAACUGUAUAAGCCACGUAAUCGUCGAUCUGCAGAAGAUCCACACACAAAAGAAAACAAACACUUACAGAAGAAAAGAAUGCUUGUACAUGCCCUGGGAAACGCUGGUCACCCCAAAUCGCUACAACACAUUGCUUCCUACAUGGAAGCUACUAAAGCCACGCCGUCAUUGAGAAGAGCGGCUGUGUAUGCCCUUAGACAUUUUACGUGCAACAAGAGCGCAGAUGCUCUCCUAGAAGCGGCAGUGAAUGACCCAGAAAACAUAGUAAAACAGGCCGCUUAUGAAGUUUACUCGUCUCAUCCUGCAGGGCAGACGUUUUCAAAGGAACAAGAAAACAUAAUUUUAUCGACACGUUAUUCGUACCCUGUUGUUGCACGAGUGAGAAGAGGUACUUUUGCAGACAUUUUAAAAGCUCUCAGUUUUGAACUAGUUCUUCCAAAGGUCGACUGGAAAAAAGUGAUUGGUAGUAGCAAAAUAGGAGCUUCAUUUGGAAUCUUCAUGGAAAACUAUAUCAAACUAAAAUUAGCCCCAUUUAAUGGUGUGUUCGAUUUAAAAGUUCUUGACGAAGCCUGGGCAGUUGGUAAUUUAGGGUUAAUUCAGAGAUCUAUUGACAUCUUUAGAGUCAAAGUCUGCUACCAACUCAACUUCCACUACGACUUGAACAUUCUUAAGGAUUUUAGCAUCGACAGCAUUCAGCAUUUGGCAACGGCAUUUGACAAACUUUAUCAUAAGAUUGUUGAUCCAAUCAAGGAGGCCGUUGAUUUGAUUAGUGAUCUCAUUGACAUGGGUAGAAACCAUAUCCUGGAGAAGAUGAUCAUAGAACUCGUGACCCUUUUCCGAGAGUUACCGUCCUUGAUCAAAGAAAUGGCAGAAAAUAUGUACCAAUCACUACUAAAAAUAAACAGUUUUGAUGGGUAUCCUUUAGUUGACAGAGUCAAGAAAUUGAUCAACCGAAUUAAAGUUUUUAUUGAUGAUGUAAAAAGCGACAUACUCGGGUUCUAUCACAGCGUGGCUGAUGCAAUCACGGUAUCCUUACCAUUCGUUGGAAAAGAAAUAAAGGACGGAUUUGAGCUUAUCGGAGAUUCAUGGAAAUUUUGGGAAAACCCAAUAGCGUCUUUUCAUGGCAUGGAGAAUGCGAUGCUCAAGUUCAAGUUAGCUGUUGUCACUUUCGUAGAGGCAAAACAAAGAGUAAUGGAUUCUUUGAACGUAUUUAAAGGCGGCCUGCCGUAUUGGUUUCAUCCUGUUGAGGAGGUAAAAGGUAUGGUAAACGACGUGAUGGACAUAAUGGGAAUGAUAAAAGAUGAAAUAACUCACUACGGAAAAAAUUCCUAUAUUCCUUCUGGUGCAGAUAUUACUGAUGGUCUGACGAUGAGUGAGAACAAAAAUACAAUUCACAAGAUAGUUGACGGAGCUAUAAUGCCAGAGGUCAACCGUACGUUGGAAAGAGUGAGGAAAAUUGCCAAACCUUUUUGGGAUAAAGCCAGUGAAAUAAUUGAUCUUUUCAAAAGAAUUAAGAGUUCUUACGACUUUAUCAGAGAGGCGAUAAACAAGGGAAAGUUUUUCAUUCAAAAAAUAUUUGGUGCCAAAUUUCAUCGGAAAUUCCCCAAAAUUUCUGCACCAUGUGAAAGCUCAACAUGCGGAUGUGGUACAUACCAGAAUAAAGAUAAUGGAAGAAUGGGAUUAGAUUUACAAAUAGACCCUGACGCAAAGAGUAAAUUUGAUGUGUUUAACCCAAUGACAGGCUUAGUGUCUUGGUAUAAUGAUCACGAGGUUCUCAUCAUACCCCAUAGACUGGAUGUCAACAUGUAUGAAAUAAUAGUGUCAAACCUUCACGAAGGUUAACCCGAAGAUUCCUCGUAAUAAAAAGAAAAAGUUUUUUCUUGGUGGUCACAAAAUUGGUAGAGUUGUAGAUAAAAUAUCAACCAAUGAAUGCGAAUUGAAUUACGUUACCUGUUUAUAUGAGAAAGAGG